rnacentral:rRNA from 1 species
AAGGCUUGACAUGGGGAAGACUGGACGAGAGAUCGUCCUUCUCUAGCAAUAGAGCUUCCCACACAGGUGCUGCAUGGCUGUCGUCAGCUCGUGUCGUGAGAUGUUGGGUUAAGUCCCGCAACGAGCGCAACCCCGUUUCUAGUUGCCAUCAUUCAGUUGGGCCCUCUAGAGAGACUGCCGCGAAUAACGCGGAGGAAGGUGGGGACGACGUCAAGUCAUCAUGGCCCUUACG